GCCCAAGAAGUAUAGUGGUUAGCACUUCACGUUGUGUGGCCUUGGCGACACAGGUUCAAUUCCUGCCUAGGGCG
rnacentral:tRNA from 1 species